rnacentral:rRNA from 1 species
UACGAAGGGGGCUAGCGUUGCUCGGAAUCACUGGGCGUAAAGGGUGCGUAGGCGGGUCUUAAGUCAGGGGUGAAAUCCUGGAGCUCAACUCCAGAACUGCCUUUGAUACUGGAGAGCUUGAGUCCGGGAGAGGUGAGUGGAACUGCGAGUGUAGAGGUGAAAUUCGUAGAUAUUCGCAAGAACACCAGUGGCGAAGGCGGCUCACUGGCCCGGUACUGACGCUGAGGUGCGAAAGCGUGGGGAGCAAACAGGG